rnacentral:rRNA from 1 species
UACGAAGGGUGCAAACGUUGCUCGGAAUUAUUGGGCGUAAAGCGCACGUAGGCGGCUUAGCAAGUCGGAAGUGAAAUCCCUCGGCUCAACCAAGGAAGUGCUUUCGAAACUGCUGAGCUUGAGUACUUAAGAGGAUCGCGGAAUUCCCGGUGUAGAGGUGAAAUUCGUAGAUAUCGGGAGGAACACCAGUGGCGAAGGCGGCGAUCUGGGAAGAUACUGACGCUGAGGUGCGAAAGCGUGGGAGCAAACAGG